rnacentral:misc_RNA from 1 species
GAACGCACAUUGCGCCCGCCGGUAUUCCGGCGGGCAUGCCUGUUCGAGCGUCAUUUCAACCCUCAAGCCCCCAAGGCUUGGUGUUGGGGCACCCGGUGGUAACCACGACCGGGGCCCCCAAUUGCAUCGGCGGGACCGCUUGGACCCUGAGCGCAGUAGCUGUAUUUCGCUCGGCGGGAUCUCCACGGCGGGCCACCCGGCCGCUAAACCCACCAAACGUACCAAAGGUUGACCUCGGAUCAGGUAGGAAUACCCGCUGAACUUA